GCAUUAAGAAUAACAAGAAAAGGACAAUAAUAAAGGAGAUAGCAGUUUGCUUUGGGUCAGAGAAACUCAAGAUCUAGGAGAGGACACAAAGAGAGCUCACCCCAGCUUGAUGAAGAUCUGGAAAGAUGGCUGCAGUCACCCAAAGAGAACAUGGAGCUACAGGACCCUUGCAAGGGCUGUAAGAGAAACAUCUAAAAGUUUUAGGUCCAGCAGCAUAAAAUCCUAGACACCUGUUCUGAAUGGAAGAUUUUGAAUUGGAAGCCUCUCCUCUGUAAUAACAUUGAAAGCGGGAAGUCUUAUUUUUAUAUGUCCAGCACUUCACAUGCAUCUUGAAACACGGGACACAAAAACUAAGGAUCAAGAUGUUGGUGAAAAGAAGAUCAAAAAGGGAUGAAAGCGUUAAGCCAGCGAGAAGGAAAUCAGCUUUUUAGGAACUUGUGAAGAAGGCAUGAAUGAAUAAUUGUUUUUAUAUCAGCAGUCCUUUGGCUUGUCCCUUCUUAUUGUCCUCCUUUUUCUGUCCAAUUUUUCCCAGGAUGCUGGCCUCAGUGGACUGCAUCUCCGUGGGUUCCUUUUGGCCAAUGGGAAGCUCUGAAGACAAUCCAAGGGCAGGAGAGAGGUUAGGGUUUACUUCCCCUCCCUGACUAUUUCAGUAUCUUAUAUCUGGAAGAAGAGCUGUCCCUCCCCAAGCACAGCUUCUGUGUGGCGGCCUGUCCUUCUGAGUUCCAGCUGUCCUCGCUGAGUUCCAACAAUUGUCCUCCCAGCCCACUCUUGAGACUUAGGCUUUUCUCUGCUGCCCACCCUGUAUGCCCACCCCUGUAUGCCUUAAAAUUCCUUGUUUAUCCCUUUAACUCCAUGCCUUUGUAUGUAGUCACUUCAGAAAUAAAUC